CAGCAGCCACGGUAAUACAGAGGGUGCAAGCGUUGUUCGGAAUUAUUGGGCGUAAAGCGCGUGUAGGCGGCGUGACAAGUCGGGUGUGAAAGCCCUCAGCUCAACUGAGGAAGUGCGCCCGAAACUGUCGUGCUUGAGUGCCGGAGAGGGUGGCGGAAUUCCCCAAGUAGAGGUGAAAUUCGUAGAUAUGGGGAGGAACACCGGUGGCGAAGGCGGCCACCUGGACGGUAACUGACGCUGAGACGCGAAAGCGUGGGGAGCAAACAGGAUUAGAGACCCCCGUAGUCCCUGUCUCUUAUAC
rnacentral:rRNA from 1 species